GGCUCUGGCCUGCCUGGCCCUAGCUAAUGCCCUGCCAGCCAGCGAGGCCACCCGGGGAGUGAGGGGGAUGGGCCGGGCAGUGGAGGGGAAGGAGGGAAUCUGGGCAUCUGGGAAGGGACCUGCCCUCACGCUGGGAGGGAGGAGGCUAACGAGCUCCUCUUGGCCUGCGUGCGCUAACGAGGCACACCUGCAAGGCUUGCGGAGCCUGGAGGAGCUGAACAGGGGAAAGUUUCACAGGGAUGGGGCCAUGCUACAGGAGAAAGGCUGCCCUGCCUAGGAGGAGACGCUGCCGGAGACACCCACGCCCCAGGCCGAGCGGGGAAGCACUACGCUAAAGCACCCGGAAGCCACUGGGGGCCUUUUCGUGGACUGCAGUGGACUUUGGAUCAGACCCACUGAGCCAGGCCAGAAUCCAGCCUCCAGCAACGGAGCAAGGAGCCCCCGGCCCUAGGAACCAGGAAAUUAAUAUGAUCUCUCGCCUAACUGAACAGAGGCGGCCUGCUGCUGCUUGGAGUCGGAGGCCCAGAACAUUGCCCGGGGCGAGUGUGUCUGGGGUGUGUGUAUCUGUGGGCCUGGGUGUGCACCCGCUAGACACACACGCUCUAGAACUGGAAAUAGUCCCUGGCAAUCAAUUCUUCCGGACUGAGGAGAUUUGGAAAAUUCAAGUCCACUCAUGGGCCGCCAUUCUCUUUAGCAAGAGGCAGGCAGCUAACCAAGACCAGCAGUUCAGGGGUGCACAGAUCUGAGCCCCGGGGAGAUCCAUGGAGCGAUGCCCCUUACACCCGCUGGGGACACGCGCCCACCCCGCACUGGGGGCAGGAGCUGGGACCAACCGGGUGGACAAACCGGACGUGGACAACCCAAGCAGGCGGAGAGGCCAAGGCCAAGGCGCUCUCAGCCCUGGCCCCCUUCGCCCGGCCUGGUGGGGGCAGGUCAGCUCCCGCCUUUGGGGGCACGCAGAGAAGGAAAGGCCCUGCCAGCCCCAGCCCCUGGUGAGUGGGAGCCCCAAGGGGCCCGUUGUACCCGCCGGGCUGGGCUGGGGCUGUUAUUAGGGGCUUUGUCUUAUAUACACAACGCUCCCCCUCCCCCGAAAAGUCUCCCGCUUUCCCCCAC